rnacentral:ncRNA from 1 species
GAGAGCACAGUACGAUGAAAGUUGUGAGCUGUGUUCAAGGGGGAGUUAUUGUCUAUCAUUGGCCUCUAUGGUAGAAUCAGUCGGGGAGGCCUGAGAGAUGGUGGUUUACCCUAU